rnacentral:rRNA from 1 species
UGGGCGAGAGACCGAUAGCAAACAAGUACCGCGAGGGAAAGAUGAAAAGGACUUUGAAAAGAGAGUCAAAGAGUGCUUGAAAUUGUCGGGAGGGAAGCGAAUGGGGGCCGGCGAUGCGGCCCGGUCGGAUGUGGAACGGCGAGAGCCGGUCCGCCAAUCGACUCGGGGCGUGGAUCGGUGCGGAUUGGGACGGAGGCCAAAGCCCAGGAAGUCGUUAAGCCUGCGGAGACGCCUUCGCCCCGAUCGUGGCUGGCAGCGCGCGCCCUGCGGGCGUGCCACGGCAUCUGCGCGCUCCCGG